rnacentral:rRNA from 1 species
UUGUAGUCUCUUCGCCAAUCACUUCCUACAUGGAUACCCCGUGGGAAACUAGGGCUAAUACAUGCACAAAGCCCCGACCGMCAAAAGGGGUGUGUUUAMUAGAUCUGAACCCAAGCCGCUUCGGCGGCCACUGGUGACGUCAUAAUAACCUUCGAAUCGCAUGUCCUCGCGACGGCGAUGCGGCGUAUGAGCUUCUGACCUAUCAAGCUGAUGGUAGUGUAUUGGACUACCAUACUUAUGACGGGUAACGGAGGAUUAGGSUUCGMUCCCGGAGAGGGAGCCUUMGAAACGGCUACCACAUCCACAGGAAGGCAGCAGGCGCGCAAAUUACCCAAUCUCGACACGMGGAGGUAGUGACAAGAAAUAACAAUGCAGGGCUCGAAGAGUCUUGUAAUUGGAAUGAGU